UACGUAGGGUCCGAGCGUUGUCCGGAAUUAUUGGGCGUAAAGAGCUCGUAGGCGGUCUGUCACGUCGGCUGUGAAAACACGGGGCUCAACUCCGUGCCUGCAGUCGAUACGGGCAGACUAGAGUUCGGUAGGGGAGACUGGAAUUCCUGGUGUAGCGGUGAAAUGCGCAGAUAUCAGGAGGAACACCGGUGGCGAAGGCGGGUCUCUGGGCCAUAACUGACGCUGAGGAGCGAAAGCGUGGGGAGCGAACAGG
rnacentral:rRNA from 1 species